rnacentral:lncRNA from 1 species
GUAUCUUCUGGCAGGGCACCACAGUGGUGCUCACAGGAGCAGCCCUGGAGAUGAUCUGCACUUACUGGCUGUGAGGAGGCUGGUGGACAUCGGGACAUGCUCCCUGCAGACAGCCCUGUUCUACAUUUGCUCUUGUGGAAGGCAGCCCCUGCUACGGGCAGAGCAAGAGCAGCACAAAGCGCUGCCGAUGGUCCCUUCAGACAUCCUGAGGGAGGGCAAGAGAGUGGCCACAGCAUCAACGGGGAACUUUUCCAAACCUAGGAGCAGAGGCGUACUGGAAGGAGAAGAGCCUUAACAUAACAGGAGGGAGUGGGGGUGAUGGGAGAACAGGAGGCUGCCGGACUGCAAGGAGCAAGGUUCAGAGGAUGUGUCCUCGGCCAGGACCCGCGUGCUGAGAGCUCGCUGAGGCUGCGCUAGCCAGGCUGGCAGUGACUGCGAUGCCCGCUGUGCCGCCCUGGGUGACAGAAGAUUUGUGCCUGGGCCACUCGCAGACACCGCCUGAAGCACUGCGGGUGCCAGCAGAAAGCUACAUCUUCAAGGAGUGCCGCUUGAUGUUAUGGCCACUGGCUGUGUCCUCAAACCACAACCCAGAACAUUUCCAGUUCCAGAGCCUGGCCUCCUUCUACAAGGUCUCCAGAGCCAGGGCUGUGGUGGCCAGGGCUGUUCCUUGGUGGUGCCAAGCUGGUGAAAAGCCAUCACCCUGCCCUACAGACACCCUAGAGGUCGGCUGUGACCAUGGGGGACACGAGCCACGAAGUCACCCCAUCUCAGGGCCACCCAACACUGGUACUGUGGAGUCUGCCGGGGAUGACGGUCAGUCUCAGGGUCAGACACUCACCGAGGGUCCCUCACAAGCCCCGUUGACCACGGCCUUUGUCUUCAUCAGGGCACCUUCCUGACGCACCUCCACGGCCAUCACUGGGAGAGCCAUCCAGCGCCACAGCAUUUUUAUUUCUUUCUUUAUUUUUAUGUUUGCACUGGCAUGGUAUGGUUUCCAGGUAACCAGACGGGUGACAAAGGCAGGCUGUGGAGCCUGAACCAGGACCACCCUCGGGACUGUGGCCGGGGAGGGUUUGGGUGCCUGCACACCCCGAUCCCCACCAGGCUGUGACUGCGUCCUGCGUGGGGAGGGCGAACCGCCAGCUCAUGGAGCUGCAGCCCCCGAGCAGCGCCCGUGCAGAACACCCUGCCCUCAAAAUAACGUCCUGGGUGCAGCCGGGGAAGGUGAAUGCAGUAUUUUUAUUUAUUCUCCUUGGGUGCACACAUGGCAAUCACCCAUGCAGCAUGAUCCAGGAUGUUGAAAACCAUUUCAUUAUGUUCUAUAAAUAAAGGACUGAUGUGGUUCA